UACGUAGGUGGCAAGCGUUGUCCGGAUUUAUUGGGUUUAAAGGGUGCGUAGGCGGCUUUGUAAGUCAGUGGUGAAAUAUGGCAGCUCAACUGUCAAGGUGCCAUUGAUACUGCGGAGCUUGAGUACAGAUGAGGUAGGCGGAAUUGACGGUGUAGCGGUGAAAUGCAUAGAUAUCGUCAAGAACACCGAUAGCGAAGGCAGCUUACUGGGCUGUAAACUGACGCUGAUGCACGAAAGUGUGGGGAUCAAACAGG
rnacentral:rRNA from 1 species